rnacentral:rRNA from 1 species
CCUACGGGAGACAGCAGUGAGGAAUAUUGGUCAAUGGGCGCGAGCCUGAACCAGCCAAGUAGCGUGAAGGAUGACUGCCCUACGGGUUGUAAACUUCUUUUAUAAAGGAAUAAAGUGAGGCACGUGUGCCUGUUUGUAUGUACUUUAUGAAUAAGGAUCGGCUAACUCCGUGCCAGCAGCCGCGGUAAUACGGAGGAUCCGAGCGUUAUCCGGAUUUAUUGGGUUUAAAGGGAGCGUAGAUGGGUUGUUAAGUCAGUUGUGAAAGUUUGCGGCUCAACCGUAAAAUUGCAAUUGAUACUGGCAGUCUUGAGUACAGUUGAGGUAGGCGGAAUGCGUGGUGUAGCGGUGAAAUGCUUAGAUAUCACGAAGAACACCGAUUGCGAAGGCAGCUUACCAAACUGCCACUGACAUUGAUGCUCGAAAGUGUGGGUAUCAAACAGGAUUAGAUACCCCAGUAGUC